GGUGCCUACUGAGCUGAUAUCAGUUCUCAUUUUACACACUGGCUCAGUUCAGCAGGAACAGG
rnacentral:pre_miRNA from 1 species